GACGAACGCUGGCGGCGUGCUUAACACAUGCAAGUCGAACGCUGAAGCCUGGCUUUUGUUGGGUGGAUGAGUGGCGAACGGGUGAGUAACACGUGAGUAACCUGCCCUCUUCUUUGGGAUAACGCCCGGAAACGGGUGCUAAUACUGGAUAUUCACUUGCCUUCGCAUGGGGGUGGGUGGAAAGGGUUUUUUCUGGUGGGGGAUGGGCUCGCGGCCUAUCAGCUUGUUGGUGGGGUGAUGGCUUACCAAGGCUUUGACGGGUAGCCGGCCUGAGAGGGUGACCGGUCACAUUGGGACUGAGAUACGGCCCAGACUCCUACGGGAGGCAGCAGUGGGGAAUAUUGCACAAUGGGCGCAAGCCUGAUGCAGCGACGCCGCGUGAGGGAUGGAGGCCUUCGGGUUGUGAACCUCUUUCGCUCAUGGUCAAGCCGCAACUCAUGGUUGUGGUGAGGGUAGUGGGUAAAGAAGCGCCGGCUAACUACGUGCCAGCAGCCGCGGUAAUACGUAGGGCGCGAGCGUUGUCCGGAAUUAUUGGGCGUAAAGGGCUUGUAGGCGGUUGGUCGCGUCUGCCGUGAAAUCCUCUGGCUUAACUGGGGGCGUGCGGUGGGUACGGGCUGGCUUGAGUGCGGUAGGGGAGACUGGAACUCCUGGUGUAGCGGUGGAAUGCGCAGAUAUCAGGAAGAACACCGGUGGCGAAGGCGGGUCUCUGGGCCGUUACUGACGCUGAGGAGCGAAAGCGUGGGGAGCGAACAGG
rnacentral:rRNA from 1 species